GAUCAUGGCUCAGGAUGAACGCUAGCUACAGGCUUAACACAUGCAAGUCGAGGGGCAGCAUGGUCUUAGCUUGCUAAGGCCGAUGGCGACCGGCGCACGGGUGAGUAACACGUAUCCAACCUGCCGAUAACUCGGGGAUAGCCUUUCGAAAGAAAGAUUAAUACCCGAUGGUAUAAUCAGACCGCAUGGUCUUGUUAUUAAAGAAUUUCGGUUAUCGAUGGGGAUGCGUUCCAUUAGG
rnacentral:rRNA from 1 species